GACGAACGCUGGCGGCGUGCCUAAUACAUGCAAGUAGAACGCUGAAGAGAGGAGCUUGCUCUUCUUGGAUGAGUUGCGAACGGGUGAGUAACGCGUAGGUAACCUGCCUUGUAGCGGGGGAUAACUAUUGGAAACGAUAGCUAAUACCGCAUAACAAUGGAUGACACAUGUCAUUUAUUUGAAAGGGGCAAUUGCUCCACUACAAGAUGGACCUGCGUUGUAUUAGCUAGUAGGUGAGGUAAUGGCUCACCUAGGCGACGAUACAUAGCCGACCUGAGAGGGUGAUCGGCCACACUGGGACUGAGACACGGCCCAGACUCCUACGGGAGGCAGCAGUAGGGAAUCGUCGGCAAUGGGGGCAACCCUGACCGAGCAACGCCGCGUGAGUGAAGAAGGUUUUCGGAUCGUAAAGUUCUGUUGUAAGUCAAGAACGGGUGUGAGAGUGGAAAGUUCACACUGUGACGGUAGCUUACCAGAAAGGGACGGCUAACUACGUG
rnacentral:rRNA from 1 species